GCAGUGCUGGAGCUGAAGCAUCUUUCACACCCUCCUCACCCUCCCCACCGACAUCAUGCUUCAGUUCCUGCUUGGAUUUACUUUGGGCAACGUGGUUGGAAUGUAUCUGGCCCAGAACUACGACAUGCCAAACCUGGCUAAAAAACUUGAAGAGAUUAAAAAGGACCUGGAAGCCAAGAAGAAGCCCCCUAGUUCCUGAUGCCCACCUGGCACUGUAUUCUGGACCCACCAAUUCCGUCCCGGGGCCUGCCUUCUUCACAGCCACAUCCAAAGCUGUGUUCCUCUUUGGUCUCAGAGCCUGCGAGUUGCCUCAGAUCUAACACCGGCCCGAAGUCGAGUUAGCUCUUCGUUUCCAGCAUCUCCCCUCCCCCCGUAUCUUCUGUCCAGCAGCUUCUGAGUCCUAAGGCUGGAACUAAGGUGCUAGGUCAGCAAACACAACCGUAACUGGUAUUCACCUGUGCUCUGAGAGACCCCCGUGGUCAAGGAAUGACUGGCUUUGGAUAGCCGCUGCAUUCACUGUCUAGCAGUGACAGUAGGAGCUUGCUACACAAACCAAAUUUUGUUAAAGUAAUUAAAAUCAGUAUCUUCAAGCCAGUUUCUGGUGAAUUAAUCCAUUUGUUAUAUAAUGUUAUCAAGGAACUCCACGAUUGAUAAUUUAACCAAUAAAUUGUUUGCUGGUCAUUAACCAAAAAACUAUGAAUUCAAGAGAGAGAGACUUGGAAAAUUUAAAACAUGCAAAACGCAGUUCAGUCUGUUUAGUCUGUGCUUUUCCUUAACGAUAUCUUUGAACUGAGGCUGCUGUCAAAGAACCAUUCUUUAUGUUUGCACUUGACAGGACGGGCAGAUAAGCGAGAAGCUUUUGAUAAAGAAUGUUACUUUUUCUUUAAACAGUAACAUUUGUACUAACUGUGUAACUUUAGAGGGAUUUCCCUAAGGGAAUGUGGUCCAAAUGUGAUUAAAGUGAGUCUCCUGGGGGAGGUUCUGCCUCUCUCCACAGUGAAGCAUCUUCUCCCAGUCAGGACAGAUCCAAACAGCAGCAUCUCUAUUUAAAGACAGUCUCCCAGUGUUACCCAGGGUGGCCUUGAGCUCCAGGGCUCAAGCAAUCCUCCUGUCUUAGCUUUCGGGUGUUGGAACUACCGGUGUGCACCAUGGUGUGCAGCCUAGUCCAUAAUGUUUUUAAUUAAAAACUAUUUUUAAGGUUACCUAUUCUCACAGGAGAUGAUGGGAAAGUGAUUUCACAUGAAGGUUCUUUCUAGCCUCUGUCUUGUUCCCUGGUACAAAUCCUCAGACAAUCCCUGGUGUCACGUUCCUCUGUGCCUUUGAGAAAGAGUGUCUAACCACACAUGUGUUUUUCACACACAUGCACACACACGUGUUCAUUGAUAACCUUGAACUUCCGAUCCUCCUGCCUCUGCCCUCUGCCCUCUCCCCUCUGUCCUCUGCCCUCUGCCCUCUGCCCUCUCCCCUCUGUCCUCUGCCCUCUGCCCUCUGCCCUCUGCCUCUCAUGUACAGGGUUUAUAGGUGUGCACCACCACGCCCAGCUACUCUUUUUAAAGCUCUUUUUUCUGUUUCUUUCAUUUGCUUGCUUUUUGAGAGAGGGCCUCACUAUGUAUCCCUGGCUGACCUGGAACUCACUAUGUAGCCCAGGCUGGCUUCAUGUUCACAGAGAUCUGUCUGUCCUUUGCCUCCUGAGUGCUGGGAUAAAGGUGGCUCCAUCAUGCUUGGCUGGCUUUUUUAUUCUUGUUGGAGAGAGCAUCCCCUGUCAGUAUGUUAACCUUGCCCCUGUGCUUCCUGUGCACGAUUCCAUUGAAUGGGGAUUUCAUAAUGUGCUACCGAUGAGCAUUAGGUUGUUCUGUUGCUGGAGUGGUGCUAACCCUGAGCCUGGUGUCCAUAUCCCAGAGCAUAGCUGUACGAUAUCAACUGUCACAGUCUAGCUUGUUUAAGACAGGGUGUCUUGUUCCGGGAGGGGGGGGUGGUUGGGCAGCUUCACUGACAAUGCCUUUUGUGAGGAUAUUUUAGCAGACCAUAGAUUGCAAGGAUUAGUUAGAGACAGCUGUUUUCAGGAAGUAACAAUGGUCCCAGAUGGGAGUCAGAACAGGGCACUCCUACUUAGAGAUACAUUCUAUCCCUUUAUGCCAGACAGAGCAUAGCAGCAGGGAGUGGGCAAGUGGUGUGUUCUUCUGAGACUUUGUAACACUUACCUCGUGAGGGCUUCCUGGGGAAACAGAUGAAGAUAUGUGCUCUGUUAGACUAUGCUUUGCAAAUCGUCCUGUAAAUAGUAGAUAGCAGAGGGAAAAGGCUGCCUACCACACUACUUUCCUAUUUCUGCAGUCUCUUUAGAACUGACUUGUGAGUCGUGUACAGUGUAGUAGUAUAGUCUGGUUAGUCUCUUUCGAGAAUACAGAGGAUCCGGUAUCUAUUGUCCUCAUAACACCUGGCUCCCAAGACUUGAUUGUGAAUGACUAGGUUAUUAGCAGAAUGAAGGAUGGCCUCAAACGAAGAAAGAUGCAUCACCCUCGAGGCUCUUCAGAAUGCUGGAUAGAGGCUUACUUAACAGCUGUUUGCAGAAAAAGAACCAUCAUGACAGCAUUGUUGUAUGUGUGGCUGCCUUGGAAAUGAUGCUAGGGGAUUAGGUCUUUAUAUAAUAAAGAUUUAUUUGCA
ensembl:lncRNA